rfam:Beta vulgaris subsp. vulgaris chromosome 3, whole genome shotgun sequence.
AACUUCUUGGUUGGUUAGCCAAGGAUGACUUGUCUGCUCGUGCCUAUUUCAUGUGGAGUUGAAUUUCUCAUGCAAUUGAGCACGUAAUAAUGUAACUCUCAUUAAAUUAGGGUUUCAGCCAGUCUCCUUGGCUAUUCUUGUAUGGUUUU